rnacentral:tRNA from 1 species
UGGUGUAAUGGUCAGCACACUGAGCCGGUAUUUCAGAGGUCCGCGGUUCGAUUCCCGG